rnacentral:tRNA from 1 species
UUAAUUGAAGCCAAAGAUUAGAGGCUUAUCACUGUUAAUGAUAGAAAUGAAUUUUAAUUCCAAUUAAG